AGCUUUGCGCAGUGGCAGUAUUGUAGCCAAUGAAGUUUAUCCGAGGCGCGAUUAUUGCUAAUUGAAAAAAUUUGGAUCCGUAUUGCCAAAAUUUUCUGUUAAAGUUUGAGACAAUUACCAGUCCACCAGCAUAUGAAUGUGCUGUUUCCUCACAUUUUAAUAAAUAUUCAAGAUG
rnacentral:snRNA from 1 species